UGAAAUUCUAUGAUUGAAAAGAGUAGGAAUGUGAGGAAUUUCAAAGCGAUUCAGGAAUGGUGGGAGCCUGAUAGAUUCUGCAUUCUGAAUGGGUUCAUGAGAAGCAGGGCGAAUAAAAGUAGUCUGAGCCGUAAUUCCCACGUUAUAGGGAUAGGAUAUGAUAGUAUCCGAAAAAGAGACAGCGUUAAUUGCGCUGUAAUCAGGGUGGCACCGCGAAGCAGCACUUCGUCCCUUUA
rnacentral:ncRNA from 1 species